rnacentral:rRNA from 1 species
GAUGAACGCUGGCGGCGUGCCUAAUACAUGCAAGUCGAGCGAACAGACGAGGAGCUUGCUCCUCUGACGUUAGCGGCGGACGGGUGAGUAACACGUGGAUAACCUACCUAUAAGACUGGGAUAACUUCGGGAAACCGGAGCUAAUACCGGAUAAUAUAUUGGACCGCAUGGUUCAAUAGUGAAAGACGGUUUUGCUGUCACUUAUAGAUGGAUCUGCGCCGCAUUAGCUAGUUGGUAAGGUAACGGCUUACCAAGGCAACGAUGCGUAGCCGACCUGAGAGGGUGAUCGGCCACACUGGAACUGAGACACGGUCCAGACUCCUACGGGAGGCAGCAGUAGGGAAUCUUCCGCAAUGGGCGAAAGCCUGACGGAGCAACGCCGCGUGAGUGAUGAAGGUCUUCGGAUCGUAAAACUCUGUUAUUAGGGAAGAACAAAUGUGUAAGUAACUAUGCACGUCUUGACGGUACCUAAUCAGAAAGCCACGGCUAACUACGUG